AUGGCUCAGCGGUUAAGAGCACUGACUGCUCUUCCAGAGGUCCUGAGUUCAAUUCUCAGU
rfam:Mus musculus chromosome 14, GRC primary reference assembly.